rnacentral:rRNA from 1 species
GACGAACGCGGCGGCGUGCCUAAUACAUGCAAGUAGAACGCUGAAGGAGGAGCUUGCUUCUCUGGAUGAGUUGCGAACGGGUGAGUAACGCGUAGGUAACCUGCCUGGUAGCGGGGGAUAACUAUUGGAAACGAUAGCUAAUACCGCAUAAGAGUAGAUGUCGCAUGACAUUUGCUUAAAAGGUGCAAUUGCAUCACUACCAGAUGGACCUGCGUUGUAUUAGCUAGUUGGUGAGGUAACGGCUCACCAAGGCAACGAUACAUAGCCGACCUGAGAGGGUGAUCGGCCACACUGGGACUGAGACACGGCCCAGACUCCUACGGGAGGCAGCAGUAGGGAAUCUUCGGCAAUGGACGGAAGUCUGACCGAGCAACGCCGCGUGAGUGAAGAAGGUUUUCGGAUCGUAAAGCUCUGUUGUAAGAGAAGAACGAGUGUGAG